GUGGGGAAUCUUGCGCAAUGGGCGAAAGCCUGACGCAGCCAUGCCGCGUGAAUGAUGAAGGUCUUAGGAUUGUAAAAUUCUUUCACCGGGGACGAUAAUGACGGUACCCGGAGAAGAAGCCCCGGCUAACUUCGUGCCAGCAGCCGCGGUAAUACGAAGGGGGCUAGCGUUGCUCGGAAUUACUGGGCGUAAAGGGCGCGUAGGCGGACAGUUUAGUCAGAGGUGAAAGCCCAGGGCUCAACCUUGGCAUUGCCUUUGAUACUGGCUGUCUUGAGUACGGGAGAGGUGAGUGGAACUCCGAGUGUAGAGGUGAAAUUCGUAGAUAUUCGGAAGAACACCAGUGGCGAAGGCGACUCACUGGCCCGUUACUGACGCUGAGGCGCGAAAGCGUGGGGAGCAAACAGGAUUAGAUACCCCUGUAGUCC
rnacentral:rRNA from 1 species